rnacentral:rRNA from 1 species
UACGUAGGGACCAAGCGUUGUUCGGAUUUACUGGGCGUAAAGGGCGCGUAGGCGGCGUGACAAGUCACUUGUGAAAUCUCUGGGCUUAACCCAGAACGGCCAAGUGAAACUGUUGUGCUAGAGUGCAGAAGGGGCAAUCGGAAUUCUCGGUGUAGCGGUGAAAUGCGUAGAUAUCGAGAGGAACACCAGAGGUGAAGACGGGUUGCUGGGCUGACACUGACGCUGAGACGCGAAAGCGUGGGGAGCGAACAGG